AGCUUAUCCAUGAUGUUUCUAAAUAAAUGUCUGAACAUAUGAUUUCCAGUGAUUUCAGAUUCUUACUGAGAUAAGCU